UUUUAAAUAAGAAUCUAUUCGUAACUGACUUGCCUAGUUAAAUACAUUUGGAAGAGCUACCAUAAUGCGAUUUCUCAAUUCAACUAAUAGUAUUACAUUAUACAUUACAUACUACUCAGAGUAAGACAACAUGUCUUCAAUUCAGAAUAAUAUAUAAGAGAAAAAACAGUGUGAGAUAUUGCAAACAAAUUCUCAAACAAUGAACAAAAAAUGUAUCGUCCUUUUAACCAAAUUCAAGCAGAAUCUCACGCCCAACCCGAAUGAACAUUUCUUUACACUUUGCUAGUUAAAAGACAGGAAAAAACAUCCAGAUUCUAAUCAACUACAUUUAAAUGAUAGAAGCGCUCCUCCUGUGUCGCUCCUCUUUGAACAAUAUUCAGUCUGACGAACAAAACAAAAGUUCCGCUGUAACUAAAUCCAUAGCACUUACAGUACAAUUAAAACGUUUUAAAUGCGUAGCUCUUUAUGAACUCACAUAUCUCCAAAAAGGCCAGUUUGACGAGAAUGUUCACUCUGACAGUGACAGGCGACUUGUGUUACGGAGUCAACUUGUGCCCUCUGCUGGCCAGAACUGGUAGCUAAAUCUGAGUUCACAAACAGAAUCAGGAAGCCACCGUUGACAGAACACAAGCCACUCCUACUCCUUUGAAGAAACAUUUGAAGGAAAACGAAACAUAAAGCUAUCUGUUACUCUUGCUGUUUGUUGGUGUGUGUUUGAAAAUGACAGAGGCUAUGGAUUCGAUCAGUUGUUCUAUCUGUCUGGAUCUACUGAAGAAUCCAGCGACUAUUGCUUGUGGACACAGCUACUGUAUGGGCUGUAUUAACGGCUGCUUCGACCAGGACGAUUCGAAGGUGGUCUGCAGCUGCCCCCAGUGUAAGGAAAGCUUCAUCUCCAAGCUGCCCCCAGUGUAAGGAAAGCUUCAUCUCCAAGCUGCCCCCAGUGUAAGGAAAGCUUCAUCUCCAAGCUGCCCCCAGUGUAAGGAAAGCUUCAUCUCCAAGCUGCCCCCAGUGUAAGGAAAGCUUCAUCUCCAAGCUGCCCCCAGUGUAAGGAAAGCUUCAUCUCCAAGCUGCCCCCAGUGUAAGGAAAGCUUCAUCUCCAAGCUGCCCCCAGUGUAAGGAAAGCUUCAUCUCCAAGCUGCCCCCAGUGUAAGGAAAGCUUCAUCUCCAGGCCCGUUCUGUGGAAAAAAAACACUCUUCUGGCUGAAUUGGUGGAGAAACUGAAGACGACAGAAUAACUCCAAGCUUCUCCUCCUGCUCACUAUUAUGUUGGACCUGGAGAUGUGGAGUGUGAUUUCGGCAUUGGGAGAGUGUGUCUGGCCUCUUACUGUGAGACUAACCUCCAGCCUCACUGUGAAGUAGCUCCCUUAAAGAAACACAAGCUGGUCAAAGCCUCCACACAACCACAGUAGAAGAUCUGUUCUCGUCAUGACAAAAUACUGGAGGUUUACUGUCGUACCGUUCAGCAGUGUAGCUGUUGUUUUUGUAUGAUGGAUGAACAUAAAGGCCAUGAUACAGUGUCAGCUGUAGCAGAGAGGACUUAGAAACAGAAACAGUUCUGGGAGAACAUCAAGAAUCCCAGAAUAAAAUCCAGGAUAGAAAGAAGGAGAUACAGGUUGUGAACUCUCUGAAGCACUCUGCCCUGGCAGCAGUGGAGGACAGUGAGAGGAGCUUUACUGAGCUGAUCCACUUCAUUGAGAGAAGACGCUCUGAGGUAAAGGAGUUGAUCAGAGCCCAGGAGAAGGCUGAAGUGAGUCGGGCUUAAGGACUCCUGGAGCAGGAGGUCGCUGAGCUGAGAAGAGAUGCUGAGCUGAGAAGAGAUGCUGAGCUGAGGAGAGAUGCUGAGCUGAGGAGAGAUGCUGAGCUGAGGAGAGAUGCUGAGCUGAAGUAGCUCUCACACACAGAGGAUCACAUCCAUUUCCUCCAGAGUUUCCAGUUUCUCUGUGUCUCUCCUGGAUCUCAGGCCUUAUCUCCUUGAAGCAUUUGAAGACAUCAGUCUCUGAACUGAAAGAUUGACAACAAGACAUAUGCAAGGAGGAAAUGGACAAGAUAUCUGAUGACGUGAUUCAAGUUCAGAUUGACCACCCUGCUGAGCCCAAGACUAGAGAGGAGUUCAUAGAAUACUCCUGCCAGCUGACGUUGGAUCCCAAUACAGCACAACGGUACCUGUGUCUGUCUGAAGAAAAUAGAAAGGUGACCAUUAGUUCUAAGGUUCAGUUAUAUCCUGAUCAUUCACACAGAUGUACCUUCUUUAAGCAGGUGCUGUGUAGAGAGGCUCUGUCUGGAGCCUGAUACUGGGAGGUAGAGUGGAGCGGGAAUUGGGUUUGUAUAGCUGUCUCAUAUAAAGGAAUCAGCAGGAAAGGAGAUGGUAAUGAGUGUUUGUUUGGGGGUAGUGAUCAGUCUUGGAGGUUUGACUGCUAGACCUAGACCACAAUGCACGAACACUGUCCUUCUAUAGCGUCUACGAAAAAAUGACCCUCCUCCACAGAGUCCAGGCCACAUUCACUCAGCCAUUCUACCUGAAGUUCAUUUGCUGGAUCAUCUGAAUAUACUGACACCUAUUCAGUUACAAAGCUAUUCGUCUGCUGGCCUUGUUGAUACAUGUGCAUUAGGACAAAGAUUGAUUGACUGUGGCCGAAGUUUGACGUAAGAUUGCAGAUAUCAUAGAGUACAGACGGCAUAGUUUCUUAAUUUGCAUGUACAGAGGGGUGAACAAAACCAAGUGUAUAUGAACGCAUAAUGAGACAUUCAUGCACUGGAAGGAGUUCUUGACAGGUGAAACAGUCCAAUCAUCAUUGAGCUCAUUUUAUUCAGUGUCUGGUGGCUCAACACUGCUGAACUAUUUCAGGGGAAGAGACAUUUGUACUUGAUUGGGAUGAGGUCGUUUGUCUUGGUUGGGAUGAGGUCGUUUGUCUUGGUUGCUACGCAAUAAAUGAGGAGUUAAUUGGCUCAUUUCAUGAAGUGGAGCUUUGAUUCAUGUUCACUGUACAUUUGGUAGUUAUUAUUAUUUGCCUAAAUGUGUAGCUACACUGUACCUGCCUAUGUAACUACUUUACCAUGUUAAUACACUGGUUAUAGGGGCACGUUUUAAAGUGAGACCGUUGUUGUUGUUCUAGUCCAAUAACUGAGCCGAUGAUUUGUUGUGUUUUCUGUGUUACUAUUCUCAGUGCAGCCUCUUGUUUGGAGUGGUUCAAGACCACACAGACAACAAACAACAGAGGAGAGAAACAUAACAAAAAAACGUCAAAGAUAAAGGCAAAUGUAUGCAAAAAGUAAAGAAUUUAAUAAAGUAGCCAAUUAGUGAAGUUGUCAAGAGUUGAGUUCUAGUACAAUGCUUGAAGUACAGCACUUAAAGCUGCUUCUUGUUCACUCCUCUCCAUCCGUGCAGACACAGCAGCACGCUGACUUGAAAAUCCUUUGGAGAACCCAACGGACUGAUCCUUUCUUGGGUCGGAUGGCAACAACCUCUGUAAAUACCAAGAAGGGGAAAACCUUUGGAGAACCCAACGGACUGAUCCUUUCUUGGGACGGAUGGCAACAACCUCUGUAAAUACCAAGAAGGGGAAAACCUUUGGUUACAAACACUGACCAGGUAAUGGGCUCUACUACACCAAGCUUUUAAGACCAAACACUGACCAGUUAAUGGGCUCUACUACACCAAGCUUUUAAGACCAAACACUGACCAGUUAAUGGGCUCUACUACACCAAGCUUUUAAGACCAAACACUGACCAGUUAAUGGGCUCUACUACACCAAGCUUUUAAGACCAAACGCUUCGUUCUCUGUCAGUGUAACUCACCUGCUUUCACAUCCUCUCUGUCCUUCUCUUCCCCCCGAGGUUGUCAUUGGUUACUUCUACUGCUAAAAGUAGAACCCAAUGCACUUUGGCUUCAGUUUGCUCCUCAAUUCAUGCUCCUUGGUAGGAAAGAGAGGUAGAAGCAGUGAUCCCUUCCCUUUGCAUUGGUUACCUCUACAACAGUCUGCAGACAGAGAACACAUGUGCAGUUAGCAAACAAUUCGUUAUAUUUUAACAACUCUUUUUACUGACUCGAGAGUCUGUUUAAAAAAUAAAUAACAAUCUGAGUGACUCGUUCAUUUUAGUAAUUCGUUUGACCUGCUAGUGCUGGCCGCAAUGAAUCCAACAGCAGGAUUAUAGACUCUCCUCCGGCUCAGAUGUGCCCCGACCACCAACUGUCUAUCAUAUGCACUCAGGGAAAUAGAUCAUGAGCAUAGAGAAUAACUGAUAAUUGAUCGCAUGGUGCAAGAAUGACUGCAAUUAAUUGAUUGUUGAAUGUUAUGAUGGACACAACAGCUUUGUAGAACCAAAACUCUGUUCAACAAACUCGAACUCAAGAACGAAUCGUUUAGGGGGGGCUGCAGUUUGCGAACAACUUUGUGCUUAUGUAUUUUAUAAGAGGCGAUGACCAAAACCUGAACACUAGUAGUUGUACUAGCACCCCAGGGCUGUCAACCUCACACAUCUCCACACAUGUCUUUUGUCAGCAACAAAGAUAGAUUACACAUCAUGUUAUUUUGUCCACAACACAGUGCUACAGAACACCUGUUGUAGCCUCAGGCUAACAAGCCAGGCAGAUUCACGCACACCGUCAUCCUCACUGUCUGUGAUUCUAACCUGUAGACCAAUGAGCUGAGAAAAACGGGGGGGGUCAGUGAUGUGUGGUUUUGUCAUGGUCAUGGAGGGAACUGUGAGUAGCCUACAAACACUUUGGAUACAAACCACAACAGCUGUCUUCAAGAAUACGUCAAAGAUGACUUCAAGAGGUCAAGAGUCAUACUUCUUCCUUUAAGCAGAUGACUGAGUAAUUCUGUAGUCAAAUGCAGCAUAUGUAUUGUGAUGCUAUAAUGGUCUGGAGCCCCCGAUACAAACCCCAUUUGGACAAACACACUUUUUCACCCAUUGAAAGCUACUAAACUAGUGUAUGUCUUCCUCAGUGGAAGCAGAAUACGGAAUACUAAACACCCCGUAAUCCACAGUAUCAUCUCCGAAAGCUCAGGUCAAACAGCUUUGAACAUCAUUCCAUACUGUAUAUUCUCAUCGCUAUACAGGUGGGCCAGACUGGCACAGCAUGAUUGGAAUCCCUAUGGCCACAUUACUGUAAUCACACCACAUCUGAAUGUCCCCCUCAUGUAUUCCACCCAGGACGGUACAAACUCAUUUUUCAGUCAUACUUGACAUCGAGGAAGUUGUUAUUCUAAGUAAAUAUAGGGUUUGGUUGCUAGGGGCUACCACUGAAUGAGCACCUGCUUUGCACAUGUACAGCCUCACAUAGGCAAACGCUUCUAUAGCGCCUUGCGGUCAGAUGCCGAGCAGUUACCAUACCAAGUGCUGAUGCAGCCAGUCAAGACACUCUCAAUGGGGCAGCUGUAGAUCUUUUUGAGGAUCUCAGGGCCUAAACCAAAUCUUUUCAGCCUGCUGAGGGGGAAUAGGGGUUGUCAUGCCCUCAGAUCGCCAUGAUAGGUCCUUAGCGAUGUGGACAUCAAGGAAUUGAAGCUCUCAAUCCUCUCCACUACAGGCCCAUUGAUGUGAAUGGGGGAGUUUGGCCCUCCGUUUCCUGUAGUCCACGAUAAACUCCGUUGUCUUGCCCACGUUGAGGGAGAGGUUGUUGAUCAGGGUCUAUCUAGGAGUUUCACUGUAGGUCUGAGAGAAGUAUAUACAGUAUGCAGUCAGAAUGCAGUCAGGUCUAUUAUUCCUAAUCCUAGCCUAUAUCUAACCUCAUGUCUGAACCAAGUAGGACCCGUGUGGGCAUAUGAAUGUUGUAUUUUGACUUAUGAAACAUGCUGUAUUGUAAUAGUUUUGAGGUGUCAACAGGAAGAGACAAGACUACUGUCUAGCAAACAGAGAUAUGGCUGAAUAUCUACUCCUUUUUACCACAGCCCUGUCAACAAUAUUCCUGAUUCAAGUCAGAGUCCUUGUAUUCUGAAUAUAAAUUGUUCCUUUGUACACAGAGAUCAUUUUUCAACACUCAAUCUUCACAUUCUAAUUUGAAUCCUCUGGGCAGAUCUGGGUGUAAAUGGUUUCCUACUCAUUUUAGUGUCAUUUUAGUGUCUUGAUUAUUUAUUGAUACAGAGAGUCCUGCUGGACUCCAUCUUGUUUCUUCUCCCAGAUGCCCACAUCCCCUUCUGAAUACUGUUUAUGUACUACAGGCCUUACAUAAUCGCUAUUAAACAUUUACUAA